UACAGAGGUCCCAAGCGUUGUUCGGAUUCAUUGGGCGUAAAGGGUGCGUAGGCGGCGCGGUAAGUCGGGUGUGAAAUCUCGGAGCUUAACUCCGAAACUGCAUUCGAUACUGCCGUGCUUGAGGACUGGAGAGGAGACUGGAAUUUACGGUGUAGCGGUGAAAUGCGUAGAUAUCGUAAGGAAGAUCAGUGGCGAAGGCGGGUCUCUGGACAGUUCCUGACGCUGAGGCACGAAGGCCAGGGGAGCAAACGGG
rnacentral:rRNA from 1 species